rnacentral:rRNA from 1 species
GAACGGGUGAGUAACGUGGGCAAUCUGCCCUUCACUCUGGGACAACCCUGGAAACGGGUAAUACCGGAUACCACUUCGUCCCGGGGGGGGUUGAAAGUCCGGCGGUGAAGGAUGAGCCCGCGGCCUAUCAGCUUGUUGGUGGGGUAAUGGCCUACCAGGCGACGACGGGUAGCCGGCCUGAGAGGGCGACCGGCCACACUGGGACUGAGACACGGCCCAGACUCCUACGGGAGGCAGCAGUGGGGAAUAUUGCACAAUGGGCGAAAGCCUGAUGCAGCGACGCCGCGUGAGGGAUGACGGCCUUCGGGUUGUAAACCUCUUUCAGCAGGGAAGAAGGACGGUACCUGCAGAAGAAGCGCCGGCU